AGCGAACGCUGGCGGCAGGCCUAACACAUGCAAGUCGAACGAACUCUUCGGAGUUAGUGGCGGACGGGUGAGUAACACGUGGGAACGUGCCUUUAGGUUCGGAAUAACUCAGGGAAACUUGUGCUAAUACCGAAUGUGCCCUUCGGGGGAAAGAUUUAUCGCCUUUAGAGCGGCCCGCGUCUGAUUAGCUAGUUGGUGAGGUAACGGCUCACCAAGGCGACGAUCAGUAGCUGGUCUGAGAGGAUGACCAGCCACACUGGGACUGAGACACGGCCCAGACUCCUACGGGAGGCGGCAGUGUGGAAUCUUGCGCAAUGGGCGAAAGCCUGACGCAGCCAUGCCGCGUGAAUGAUGAAGGUCUUAGGAUUGUAAAAUUCUUUCACCGGGGACGAUAAUGACGGUACCCGGAGAAGAAGCCCCGGCUAACUUCGUGCCAGCCGCCGCGGUAACAC
rnacentral:rRNA from 1 species